AUAUGCUCCCACAACGCUCUUCAUAUAAACAACAAGGAGGUGGAAGAAGGAGAAGCCAAAAACAAGAAGGAAGAGAAAGAUGAUGUUGAGAAGCGGAAUCCCAAAUGUUCCUCCAAACUAUAGUCUAGAUUAUAGUAAUAUGAAGUACUAGGAAAUAUAAUAAGGUGCGAGGUUGUUGUGGAAUGUAAUGCGCUGAUCAAUAUAACACACAAAUCAUAUCC